rnacentral:rRNA from 1 species
AGCGAACGCUGGCGGCAGGCUUAACACAUGCAAGUCGAGCGGGCGUAGCAAUACGUCAGCGGCAGACGGGUGAGUAACGCGUGGGAACAUACCUUUUGGUUCGGAACAACACAGGGAAACUUGUGCUAAUACCGGAUAAGCCCUUACGGGGAAAGAUUUAUCGCCGAAAGAUUGGCCCGCGUCUGAUUAGCUAGUUGGUGAGGUAAUGGCUCACCAAGGCGACGAUCAGUAGCUGGUCUGAGAGGAUGAUCAGCCACAUUGGGACUGAGACACGGCCCAAACUCCUACGGGAGGCAGCAGUGGGGAAUAUUGGACAAUGGGGGCAACCCUGAUCCAGCCAUGCCACGUGAGUGAUGAAGGCCCUAGGGUUGUAAAGCUCUUUUGUGCGGGAAGAUAAUGACGGUACCGCAAGAAUAAGCCCCGGCUAACUUCGUG